CGACAGACAUUGUGUGUUGCUGGCAUCAUGUGAGUGGACGAGAUGAACAAUAAAGAGUCCAGUCCUCACAUUUUUGAAGAGGCAGGUAAAACAAUUUUUAAAAACUAAUUAAAGUACCACUAUAGUGCCUGGAAAACUCUUGUUUUCCUGGCACUAUAGUGCCUUGAGCUUGCCCCCUCCCGCCGGGCUGGAUGGCGAGGAAAGGGGUUAAACUUAUCUAUUUUCCAGUGCCUGGCGGGGAGCUCUCCUCCUCCUCUCCGCCUCCGAUCAUCCUCUUUUUCUGAAUGCGCAUGCGCAGCAAGAGCUGCGCUCGCAUUCAGCCUGUCUCAUAGGAAAGCAUUUCCAAUGCUUUCAUAUGGACGCUUGCCUCUUCUCACUGUGAUUUUCACAGUGAGAAGCACGCAAGCGCAUCUAGCGGCUGUCAAUGAGACAGCCACUAGAGCAGGGGUUCUCAACGUUAGUCCUCAGGACCCCCUACCAGUCCAGGUUUUAGGGAUAACAUAAGUG